UAACAAUUGUGUUAUAAAUUAUCAGACUCUUAAAAGCUAUAACCACAAAUAAGUAAAUAUUAUAUUAAAGCUGUUCUUAUGAAUAUUCAUGAGAUGAUACAACAUAUUAUAAGGUUAAUUUCUUGCAUUUGUAUCAUGUUUUUGUUUCAAACAGUUACCCCUCUACAGCAGACAAGUUGAAUCUUUGAUUGCAAUCUUUCCCUCUCUAAAUCUCAGCAUUGCUGGAGAGAAUGAAGGAUAUUUAAGUAUUUAAACUUAAUCUAGCAUAAUUUAGCUCACAGUUCUGCUGAAAUUUAUAUUUUAUUGGCAAAAUUAUAUUUUAUGUGUUUGUAGGAGCAUCUGUAUGACCCUGUGUCCCAUAAAGGAUUCAUUGAAAUGAAGCUUCGAAACAUGAGGCGGCAUCUUGAAGAGGGACAGCGACACUAUCAGAGAAAAUGGAAAGCUCCCUGCAGUGUGUCAGCAGGAACCUUAGAAACGUCAUCUAGUGAUGAAGUCCCAAAUGAAUGCUUGACUGUCAUCAAGAGAAUGAAGCCAUCAUCUGAGAACAUCGCAAUGGAAAAGACAUUUAUUCAUCGCAGGAACUGGAUCAGCAUGGAGUCACCAACAGUUGGUGACAUUUGCCAACAGUACCCCGCUUUAUUGACAUGCCAUCCUUGCUAGAUGCAGAGUUUGGAAAGAUGUUUGAUAGAAAGGGUGAGAUGUUAAUCCGGAAAUGGGAGUCAUCAGUUAUUUCAAAACUGAAACGGAUCACAGCAUUUGAGAAAGGAAGUGUAACCUCUCUUUUGGACCAAUUUAUAAAUUGUAAUGAUGAUGAGAAAUGCUACAUCAUGCUGCAGGUCCUGAAGAGAUGCAGUUCGAAGCCGGUGCAGUGUCAAAUCUGCCAUGUCAUAUUUGCUGGAUUUUGUACUGGUGAGUUUUAUUUAUUCAUUCAUUAUGAUCUUGUAUCCUGGAUCACAAAUAACACUGAAAAAUAUGCGUAGCAUGAAAAAAAAGUAUUCAGUAUUUCUCUCUCCCUCUCUCUCAUCUCUUUGUCUCCUUCACUCUUCAUCUACCUUAUCUUCAUCUACAUUUCUAUACAGUUUGGGACUAGGAUCUCCUGUAUAUGUGACAGUGAUGACAUUGCCACAAGGAUCCAGCAACCACAACUAGUCUGCAUUGGAAACCUGACCAGAGAGGCCCACCAGUUUGUCAUUUUUGUCAAAAACGACAAAGUUGUAAUUCCACUGGAAGAUGAGAGCCUAACCUGUGCCUUGGAUAAGCUGUUUAAGUUCUUCUGGGUCUACAACUUUUCAUAUCCUCCCCAACUUACCUCAGUCUUCACCUUUUUUGAGUAUGUAUAUGACUUGCCAAUGUCUAAGACUGUAAGAAGAUCUAAAGCUUUGCACCUUCAAGACAGCAUUCAUCAGGGGAUAGCUUAAUGUGCAUGGCUGCCCAGCUUUCAGAAAGACAGGAGUCAUACAACAUUUAAGAUGAAAACAAAGCAGAUAACAGCAGCAGCACUCAUUUAACAACUAAUGCAACAUCAGAUGGUGAGGAAAGUGCCAAUUUGUGUUCAAAGUCUGAUGAUGCAGUGUCAGUUACCAGUCAUGCAGCAACAUUUG
ensembl:lncRNA